rnacentral:rRNA from 1 species
GAUGAACGCUGGCGGCGUGCUUAACACAUGCAAGUCGAACGGAAAGGCCAGUGCUUGCACUGGUACUCGAGUGGCGAACGGGUGAGUAACACGUGGGUGAUCUGCCCUGCACUUCGGGAUAAGCCUGGGAAACUGGGUCUAAUACCGGAUAGGACCAUGGGUUGGAUGGCGUUGUGGAAAGUUUUUUCGGUGUGGGGUGAGCUCGCGGCCUAUCAGCUUGUGGGUGGGGUAAUGGGCUACCAAGGCGUCGACGGGUAGCCGGCGUCGGAGGGGGUACGGCGACAUUGGGGCUGGGAUACGGCCCCGACUCCUCUGGGAGGCAGCAGUGGGGAAUAUUGCACAAUGGGCGCAAGCCUGAUGCAGCGACGCGGCGUGGGGGAUGACGGCCUUCGGGUUGUAAACUCCUUUCGCUAGGGACGAAGCGUAUUUGUGACGGUACCUGGAGAAGAAGCACCGGCUAACUACGUG